GUAAGUCAGCAGCCAGCAGCCCACACUCUCACUGUGCUGGCAUCCUGAUCUCAGACUCCCCCGCUUCAGAACUAUGAGGCCACUUUAAUAUCCUGCCAUGGCACUUAGUAGUGAAGAUCAAGAGUAGCCUGGGGGAGACCCAAGACAGGUUUAAUGAGACCAGUGUCAAACAUCUUGAAAGAAUACAACCCUUAAAGUUCAGGCCCAGCACUUUGGAGAUUGCAGAGCAAGAAGAAUCCACAAGGGGCCUUCCCUGGCGGUCCAGUGGUUAAGAAUACUCUAGUUCAAUCCCUGGUCAGGGAACUAAGAGCCCACAAGCCACAACUAGAGAGUCUGUUCCCUGCAAUGAAAGACCCUGCAUGACACAAUGAAGACCUGAUGCAGCCAAAUAAAUAAUAAAUAAAAAUUUUAAAAAAGAAGAAGAAUGCACAGGGAUUCAGAGGGCAAGGUGCCAUCCUGGAACCCUCAGGAAUCCUUCCCUUCCAGGAUCCUAGUUCCCCAACCAGGAAUUGAACCUGAACCCCCUUCACUGGAAGUGCAUAGCCUUAAUCACUGGACCACUAAGGAAGAGCAACUUUCUGAGUGUCACCUAUGGAGAAUUUGAAGGAAUGGAGUCUUCCCUAAAAAAUUGUCAAAAAUGAGACAGAAGGAGAAGGAAUGGAAAAAAAUCGGAUAGAACAAAGGAAGAGGGUCUCUCUCACCAAGGACGACAUGGUUAAGCCAC
ensembl:lncRNA